UUGACCUCGGAUCAGGUAGGAAUACCCGCUGAACUUAAGCAUAUCAAUAAGCGGAGGUA
rnacentral:rRNA from 1 species